rnacentral:lncRNA from 1 species
AUAAGUGUCCACGCUGGGUGCUGGGAACAAAUUGCCUCCCUGAGUCGGACCAGCUGCCCGUGGAUCCUACGCUGCAGUCACACCAGACUCCUCAUGUUGUGGGAGGCCUGAACUUCUUUUCCUGAGGAAGGAACUCAGAUAAAAACAAAUGUAAGUUUCAAGCUUUAAGACCAGAAGGGGCAAUAUCUAUGUUUAUCCAAAAAAACUGUCUGUUUAUUGGGUAGGUCUCACCACUUUGUCUCCUGAAUGUCUUCCCGAGGAGACUCUGAUCUCCUUGAGGGCAGGGCAUGUGCCUUUCCUGUCUGGAAGGCACCUAGUAAAUGCCCAAUAAGCAUUGGUUGUUAUUGUGAAAGAGCAGUAACUGAUUCACAGCUGCUUCCAUAGCACUUCCUGGACUCCAGCACUCACUCCGGACCAGGCUCAAGUUUCUGGAUGGGUAGGAGGGCUGGCUGGGAACAAAAGAAAACAAAGGAAAGCUGAUUUGGUUCUUUGUUCUGUGUAGCCCUGUGCUAAGCUUCCCCGUCCUCCAGCAGCUUGCACAGACCCUGGUUCCAG